CCUGUAACGACGGCGGAAACUCCUCAGCAUACAAAAUGUGAAUGGGGCUCUGGUUUUAUUCCCAUUGCCGAGUAUGGAACUGAGUUUCAUAAGGGUUCAAGAAAAGGAAAAUCAGGGAAAGUUGUGAGGCUUGUGUAUGGUGGCCUUGCGCUUGUGCUUCAUUAUUGAGUUUUGGACAGUUCUUCAACAUGAUCAUGGGAUUAGUUUUGGGGGGCCAUGACUUGAAACACAUACAACUGAAUUCCAUUGGGUGGAUAAUUGUAAAAGAGAAAUGUUUUAGUUGUGGACAAGUAACAAAUUUUUUUUCUUUUAGUUUUGGUGCGGGGAAAUUGAUUAGAUUUAUCUCACAUUU